rnacentral:rRNA from 1 species
CGGUGUUGCACCCCAACAACCGUUGCCCCAACCACUCCUCCUCCUGUCGCGCCCACCCCUUCCAGCUCGGCCAGUCGCUGUGUCGUGAGUGACCGAUACGCCAGGAGUGCACGUAAGAGGGAUGGUGCGAGCGGCUUUAUGAAAAGCGUGCGUGGUGGAGCGUGUGGGCGUGCCCGGGUAGGAGAGGUUGGUAGGAGGAGGGGCUAGGCGUGGGCUGCGUAGACGACGAUAUUUUUGAUGCACGUAUGGGGGCAUUGGCGAAGUAGGGAGAGAUGAAGGGCUAGUUUGCGCCGCCGCCGUCGUCGCCGUCGCGUUCUCCAUCUAACCUCAUAGUGGUGGUGGCGCGUUCUUUACCGCUGGCUCUGAAAGGAGAAGUGGAGACUCAGACACUUGCUCCCGGUGGGACUGUUCGAGACGCUGGUCCAGAGGCUGCGACACGAACUGCGCACGGAGCGGGUUCUGCGACUGUCGUUCCAACGGACACUCUGUACGUGGUUCUGGUUGUACCAGUACCAAAAACCACUCUAGUGGUGGUUCCGGUGACAACUGAUACUCUUCUAACACGCACUGUGGACGGCGUUGUAACCGAAGUAGAGACUACUACAACCGGAACUACGACUGGCCACGUUCCACGAACAGUUGUAUCUCGUCGUCAGAGGACUGUAACGGGUCCCACACGUGCCUGUAAAGUGGUUCGCGGGACUCCUAUAACCACGACCACUGGUCCCAUAGUACAAACCGAUACGGUGGCUACUCUGGGGACUCGAGUACGGGGAGUCGGUACACGAACGGUGGUUCGACCCACGGGCGGAGUGACUUCAGGCGUUCUUACCGUGAACACGGACCGAUUCCGGACUACCGUUUUGGGUCCAGUGCCAACUUAUGGAGUUGCUCCCUCCACGGUACCAAGGACAUGCACACGUGUGACAAGACUAGAGGUGGGUCGUACUACUCUGACAGUGGUUACUACUCUAACGACGCCUGGAGUUCCUCGUACAGUAGUUCGGCCACUAGGGACUCUUCAUGGACCUGCUCUUCUGGUAUAAGGUGAACUUAGGUAGUCCGGCGAAACAGUAACCACCGGGAGUACCACUACGACCAGAAUGACCAGCGUUCUAGUAGUAGCUGUGGAUACCACCGACCCCUCGUGUGCCUCCACCACGAAAGAGGCCGUUCCUGGGUUGAUUCCAACUGGCGUCACCGCGGAUGUAACGGUCCGUCCGACGGUUCUCGUAGUAACGAUCGCCAGAACGUGCGGCGACGUAACAAGUCUAGAGGAUGCGGUAACCACACGGACUCGGGAAUAGACAGAAGCAACUGAGAAUACCAUGACCGUUCUAGGGGCUAUUCCUCUAGGAGUUCUAACACUUCCUCUUGAAACUGAAGUCCGGACCCUACUAGUCGUAGUUGGAACUGAACUUCUUCCCACCGUUGUCUAAGUAGUUCUGCCGACGAAUACCGGUGAAACCGGCACUCCUACGACUGAAGUGGACCCUCCAACACUUCGGGGAGUUCAAACUGUUCCGGAGACGAACUCUGCACCCAUACUUCCUCAGAUAGUAAUGACGACGACGGCGACCACCAACAUAGAACCUAUUAACUUAAGGAAGAGAAAUCUUCCUUCGUCCCAAAGUUGUAGCGGCACCUGUGCGACUUAACCGCAGAUCACUAACCAUAAAACCAUACCGUAUGUCUUUAUACACGACUCAAUUAUGAUCAGCCCAGAAAACUACAGAAGACACGAAACAAAAACGAAAAACUCAGAUGACUUUGGCGUCAUGAACACGCCAAAGGAGAUAGGUCAAUAAAAAAUCAUGACGUAGACAUUUUGGUAUACACUAGGAUCAUGGGACAAGAAGGGUUAAGAGCUACGAACCACGUCAGAAUUGGAAAAGCUAUAAGUCAAACUCGCUAUUCCAUCACGCCAAAAACAGUCACGUCCAAACCGUUAAUGAGUAGA